rnacentral:rRNA from 1 species
AGAGUUUGAUCCUGGCUCAGAUUGAACGCUGGCGGCAUGCCUUACACAUGCAAGUCGAACGGCAGCAUGAUCUAGCUUGCUAGAUUGAUGGCGAGUGGCGAACGGGUGAGUAAUACAUCGGAACGUGCCCUGUAGUGGGGGAUAACUAGUCGAAAGAUUAGCUAAUACCGCAUACGACCUGAGGGUGAAAGUGGGGGACCGCAAGGCCUCAUGCUAUAGGAGCGGCCGAUGUCUGAUUAGCUAGUUGGUGAGGUAAAGGCUCACCAAGGCGACGAUCAGUAGCUGGUCUGAGAGGACGAUCAGCCACACUGGGACUGAGACACGGCCCAGACUCCUACGGGAGGUAGCAGUGGGGAAUUUUGGACAAUGGGCGAAAGCCUGAUCCAGCAAUGCCGCGUGUGUGAAGAAGGCCUCCGGGUUGUAAAGCACUUUUGUCCGGAAAGAAAUGGCUCUGGUUAAUACCUGGGGUCGAUGACGGUACCGGAAGAAUAAGGACCGGCUAACUACGUGCCAGCAGCCGCGGUAAUACGUAGGGUCCAAGCGUUAAUCGGAAUUACUGGGCGUAAAGCGUGCGCAGGCGGUUGUGCAAGACCGAUGUGAAAUCCCCGAGCUUAACUUGGGAAUUGCAUUGGUGACUGCACGGCUAGAGUGUGUCAGAGGGGGGUAGAAUUCCACGUGUAGCAGUGAAAUGCGUAGAGAUGUGGAGGAAUACCGAUGGCGAAGGCAGCCCCCUGGGAUAACACUGACGCUCAUGCACGAAAGCGUGGGGAGCAAACAGGAUUAGAUACCCUGGUAGUCCACGCCCUAAACGAUGUCAACUAGUUGUUGGGGAUUCAUUUCCUUAGUAACGUAGCUAACGCGUGAAGUUGACCGCCUGGGGAGUACGGUCGCAAGAUUAAAACUCAAAGGAAUUGACGG